AGAGUGGUCGACCCCCUCUUUUGACAAGAGAGUGUCGCCCUCUUCACACACACGCACAAGAGAGAAAAGAAAGAGAGAACGAGAAGCUCUUCUUCCAUUUAUGAGACUUCCACCAUUGAAAUCUGCAAUCAAAUAACAAAUAGAGAGUUAUUAAUAUUAGAAUAGUCAAUUGAAACUAGUAGAUUAAGGUGCAAUUAGGCUGUGAUCACAGAAGGCAUUCCGUAAUCAAGGUAAGCUUCCGUUUUGCAAUCCGUAUGUUGUUUGCUUAUUUGAUUAUAUUUUUGGGCUUAAUGUCGUCAGGAGAUUUCUCGAAUCUCUAAUGGUUGCUUUGUUAUGUUUCGUUUUUGGAUUUCAUACUCAUCGAGGACGGUGAACCUUUUAAAGUUGAUAAGUGCAAAGGGAAGGCCUGAAUUUGCAAUAGAGUUUACUGUUGCACAAUUUUGAGGUUGAAAGUUUUGUUUACUGUGGAUCUCGAGUACCUGUAUCUAGAGAGAAGAUCUUCUCCAAACUUCUCCAGACUAGAAUUUGAGUUAUACUGCAGACUCGUGGCAUGUUUUAGAUUUGAAAGAAUGAGAGCUUGGAUUUACUAUGUGGUGCUUUAUUUUUUUUUUCCAGUAUUUUUAUUUUUGUCUCUUGAACUCUUAGAGGAUUUCAAAUUAGUUGCAUAAGGACUUGGACUCUAUUUUGAAUUAAACUUUUGAUACUUUUCUUUUAUUAAUGUUGGAUUUGAGGACGCUUCCUUUUGAGAAGUUGUUUUACUUAUAUUAAGGACUUCGGAGAAUUUUAAUCAA